AUGCCACCCCCAAAAUAUUAAAAAUUCUCUGCUAGGAAGCUCAGUACUGAAGGUGGGUGUGGAUUUCUGCCCCUAAAAAAAGCCCAUAAAUGGGUAAUGCAUACAGAUAUACAGAUUGAAGCAGUGUGGCAGCCAGGAGGUGGGGAAGGGGAUGGCUGAAGUGGAUAUAUGGAGACGAAGACCAUGACGAGGGGUAUCACUGCUAAAGAUGGCCUGGACAUUACAUCUGCACAGCAAUGGGAGGACACCACGAGAGCCCAGCUCUGUGAACCCUCAGUGUCACCUACCAACCACAAGUGAGCCUCUGCAUGACAGCAAGACCCCAAAACCAAUAGCAGUGGGCAAGCCUGUUUUUCAAGGGCACCCCAACCCGUUAGCAAGAAGAGGCAUCGCCAUCCCUGCAGCCACUAGAUGGUGCCAAGAGAAAGAGCGUGGGAGGAACGGGGUGAGGAAGAGGAGGGCACCCGCGCCUCCAGCUGUCCCCUGCCACCCGAAAGCCUGGCCGUGGGGUGAGGGACAAACCCCAGGUAUGUACAGUUUGCAGCGGAAGAUCUCCCAGCCCAUGUCCGUGGGGAGGCAUCGUCCUGGCUGGGGAGUGUUUGGGACCUAACGGCGAUGAGGUUGUGGCUGGGAAGUCCUCGACUGGUUUUGUGCUGGGUUGGCCAGCUGGUAUCGCCCAGUGUGGUUGGGCUCACACCAGGAGUGCUGUCCCAGCUCCUCCUGUGCUGUCCCCAUCAGAUGUCCCUGGUUUCUGCAACAAGCAAAGAUGUGGUGCAUGGGAAGAUGGAGAUUUCUCUGCCCUCGUGAAGGAAACCUGUGCCUAUGCUAGGAUGGGACCUGGAGAUUGCUCCCAGCAGGGCCCUUGCAGGCUCCCUGUGGGAGAAAGCACGGCUGGAAAUAGGGCUGGGGUGGGGGACAUGGGUGCGCCGGGUGGAGCUGCAGAGAUGACAGCCUCCUUGCAAUUUCUGGGUGCAAUGCCUCCCCUGCCUUCCGGAGCCUGCAAGGAUUUGGGCCACAUCUUUCGGUUGUAGUGCAAGAUCAAAAGAAAACCUCAUUUGGCUUCAUUUCAAUGAAAGCUAAAAGUCUGAAAAUGCAAAAGCCAAGUGAAAUUUCUCUGUAUCUGUCAGCCUGUUGAAUUUGCCCAUCUGUGCCAGGUUGCAUGACUUUGUGUCUCGCACUUCGUUCUGGUUCUCCUAAAAGACUUGGUUCCCGG
rnacentral:lncRNA from 1 species